GUCAAUUUAGCAAAAAUAAUGCAACUGAUUUAGGAUCAGUAAAUAUAGGUGAAAAUCCUUUAUUUGACA
rnacentral:tRNA from 1 species